AGGACGAACGCUGGCGGCGUGCUUAACACAUGCAAGUCGAGCGGAAAGGCCCUUUCGGGGUACUCGAGCGGCGAACGGGUGAGUAACACGUGAGCAACCUGCCCUUAGCUCUGGGAUAGCUCCGGGAAACCGGAAUUAAUACCGGAUAUGACCUAGGCCGACAUCGGCCGCGGUGGAAAGUUUUUCGGCUAGGGAUGGACUCGCGGCCUAUCGAGCUAGUUGGUGGGGUAAUGGGCCUACCAAGGCGACGACGGGUA
rnacentral:rRNA from 1 species